rnacentral:tRNA from 1 species
UGCUCCAUAGUGUAACGGUAGCACGUCAGACUUUGAAUCUGAAAGCGUUGGUUCGAUUCCAACUGGGGCUGCCA